AGUAGCUAGUUAGCUGGCUAGCUUCUGACGGUUCUAAAGUAAAGUAUAGAAAAAGCAGAUCCGUACCACAUUGGGUGAUGCGGGUUGCAGGAGAGUAUAUUCAGCUCUAGUUUGAAAGUGAGAUUAAAAUAUGUACGAAAUAUAUACAGAAAAAAAACGAAGAAAACUAUAUUUACACUAGACAGGACGGGACAAGACAAAACACACGUCCGAUUGCUACGCCAUCUUGGAAGACUUACGGGACAAGAGACAUGAACUGAGGUCCUUUCUGCAUGAAAGAGUGAAGGGUGCCUUGAUUAGGUCUCGUUUCGCUUCCCUCAAGGAUAUGGAUGCUCCUAGCACCUUUUUUUUAAACCUUGGACAGUCGACAUUGAAACAGAUGGUCUACCUUCGUCUCUCUGAUGGGAAGGUGACCACGGAUGACAUUUCAACGUAAACAGAUGGUCUACCUUCGUCUCUCUGAUGGGAAGGUGACCACGGAUGACAUUGCAACGUAAACAGAUGGUCUACCUUCGUCUCUCUGAUGGGAAGGUGACCACGGAUGACAUUGCAACGUAAACAGAUGGUCUACCUUCGUCUCUCUGAUGGGAAGGUGACCACGGAUGACAUUUCAACGUAAACAGAUGGUCUACCUUCGUCUCUCUGAUGGGAAGGUGACCACGGAUGACAUUUCAACGUAAACAGAUGGUCUGCCUUCGUCUCUCUGAUGGGAAGGUGACCACGGAUGACAUUUCAACGUAAACAGAUGGUCUGCCUUCGUCUCUCUGAUGGGAAGGUGACCACGGAUGACAUUUCAACGUAAACAGAUGGUCUACCUUCGUCUCUCUGAUGGGAAGGUGACCACGGAUGACAUUUCAACGUAAACAGAUGGUCUGCCUUCGUCUCUCUGAUGGGAAGGUGACCACGGAUGACAUUUCAACGUAAACAGAUGGUCUACCUUCGUCUCUCUGAUGGGAAGGUGACCACGGAUGACAUUUCAACGUAAACAGAUGGUCUACCUUCGUCUCUCUGAUGGGAAGGUGACCACGGAUGACAUUUCAACGUAAACAGAUGGUCUACCUUCGUCUCUCUGAUGGGAAGGUGACCACGGAUGACAUUUCAACGUAAACAGAUGGUCUACCUUCGUCUCUCUGAUGGGAAGGUGACCACGGAUGACAUUUCAACGUAAACAGAUGGUCUGCCUUCGUCUCUCUGAUGGGAAGGUGACCACGGAUGACAUUUCAACGUAAACAGAUGGUCUGCCUUCGUCUCUCUGAUGGGAAGGUGACCACGGAUGACAUUUCAACGUAAACAGAUGGUCUACCUUCGUCUCUCUGAUGGGAAGGUGACCACGGAUGACAUUUCAACGUAAACAGAUGGUCUACCUUCGUCUCUCUGAUGGGAAGGUGACCACGGAUGACAUUGCAACGUAAAUAGAUGGUCUACCUUCGUCUCUCUGAUGGGAAGGUGACCACGGAUGACAUUGCAACGUAAACAGAUGGUCUACCUUCGUCUCUCUGAUGGGAAGGUGACCACGGAUGACAUUGCAACGUAAACAGAUGGUCUACCUUCGUCUCUCUGAUGGGAAGGUGACCACGGAUGACAUUGCAACGUAAAUAGAUGGUCUACCUUCGUCUCUCUGAUGGGAAGGUGACCACGGAUGACAUUGCAACGUAAAUAGAUGGUCUACCUUCGUCUCUCUGAUGGGAAGUUGAAGAAAUUGUUUCUAAAUGUCUCUCAAACAGGUUGAAAGAGUAUCUGGGAUUGUUGGUCCACAAGGACCAGUCCUACUGUGUACCUGAUCGCUCUAUUGUUGACAACUUGUUUAUGAUAAGAGAUGUUUUAGAAAUUUGUAAACUGUCUGAUGUAAAUGUGGGUUUACUUUCUUUGGAUCCGGAGAAGGCUUUUGAUCGUGUGGACCAUCAGUAUUUGUUUAAAACAAUGAAAGCCUUUGGGUUUGGGGAUGUUUUUCUGUCAUGGGUGAAUUUACUGUAUGCUGGAGCCUCGUGUAUGGUGAAGGUGGGGGGUGGUUUGAGUUGCCCCAUCCCUGUCCAAAGGGGCAUCAGGUAGGGAUGCCCAAUUUCAGGGCAGUUAUAUGGUGAUUGAACCAAUGCUUUGUUUUUUUAAGAGCGAAGCUUACUGGUUUCUCUGUGCCAGGUGUAAUGAAGGGUCCCACGACAGCACUAUCUGCAUAUGCAGAUGACGUGACAGUUUUUAUUACAGGGGGUGAGGAUGUUACGGUUCUCUCAAACGCUCUAAAGGUGUAUGAGGGGGCCUCCUCAGCUAGAGUCAAUUGGGGAAAGAGUGAAGCGCUAUGGGCAGGUCAGCUUCAGUUGGGGUAUGCUCCACGAUUACCAGGGGGGCAGAGAUGGGAUGAAGACUUUGAUUUUUUUCUAGGCUCUGAUGUCUUUCAGAAAAAGAACUGGGAGGGUCUAUUGGAGAAAGUGUGUGCCAGACUGUCAAGGUGGAAAUAGGUGCUGCCCCAGCUGUCUUAUAGGGGACGGGUCCUGGUAGCUAAUAAUCUUGCUGCCUCUCCCCUGUAGCACAGACUAAUGAUUUUACAGCCACCAAAGGGUCUGAUACAAGAGCUUCAGAGGACCCUUGUCAAUUUGUUCUGGUCUGAACAACACUGGAUUAAAGCUGCAGCCCUGUACCUGCCACUGCAUGAGGGUGAGCAAGGCCUGGUGGACAUUUCCUCUAGGAUCAUGGCUUUCCCACUUCAAGCAGCCAGAGACGGUUCUAGCUGGGUCAAAACAGCCUACAUAUUGAUGAGGAGAGCGGGCUGUUUGGGCUUAGAUAAGCACCUUUUCCUCUUAAAGCUGGAGGGGAGUGUGUUAUGCAGGCUUGGAGGGUUCUUGUCAAGUCCCGUAACGCCGGCACGCCACCAGGGAUGUGUUUUUGUAGAGCCUCUUUUUCACAACACUGCCAUCCAGUCCUGUGUUCUGGGUUCAGCCAGCCUACGUUGAUGCCUGUUAGGCGUGGGGUGUACCAAGCUGGGUCAUCUGAUGGGGUGCAGGAUCAGAUCGUUGGAGGAGCUGGGAGAAAGAGCGGGGAUCCGAUCAUCUCGCCUACUGAGGAAGGUCGUCGCUGAGGUCUAUGACUCCUUGCCAGUGCUUCAUCUGCAGUAUGUGACUGACACUUCCAAUUCUGAUCGGUGGAAGGAGGGUCUGGAUUGUGUUUCCUGCACUGAUUGCUAGUGCUGCGGCGAGGGCAUUUGAGGAGGACGUGGGGAUGCUGCUUUCCUUCGAUACCCCGGAGCUGGGGGAGUUCAAGGAGGUGGGAAAGAAGGCCAUGUACAGAAUAUGUGUAAAUGUGCCCCAUGCCUCUUCCCUGGAAGGGGUGAAAUUGACGAGGUGGGCGGGUGUGCUUGGUCCAAGUGCCUCCCCAAAAGGCUGUUGGCGAUCAUUAUAUAAACUGCUUAUUGAUAACCUCCAAUGGAGGAUAAUACAUGGAGCCAUAGCCACCAAUAUACAUCUGGUACACCUGGAUGCUACUGUUGGGGAGGGGUGUCCAUUCUGUGCUGAGUCUGAAACUCUGGCACAUCUGUCCCAGUUUGGUCGGGAUGAUUGACCUGAUCACUAAUUGGUUCUCAACGUUGGGAGAGGUUCUCUUCCCAACUGUAUAUAUUUGGGCCAAAGUACAGGUUCAGUCAAAAGGGUGUAGUUGUGUUGCUUAAUUUUGUGUUAGGGGCAGCAAAAUUUGCCUAUUAUAAACUUGUCAACAAUAUUGAUCUGUUUUUGAGUAUAUGGGGUAUUCAGAGGCUGUUGUGUUUAGUUACUGUGGAGAAGGAAUUGGACUUGUGUUAUUAAUGGAUGUGUAACUGGUUUUGUAUGAGUAUUUAUUGUGUGGUGGGCUCUCUCUCUCUCUCUCUUUUCCACUCAUUCAAGGGCUUUAUUGGCAUGGGGAACUUAUGUUAACAUUGCCAUAGCAAGACGAGCUUCAAUGCCAUACAACACUCCUUCCGUGGCCUCCAACUGCUCUUAAACGCUAGUAAAACCAAAUGCAUGCUUUUCAACCGUUCG